CAAUAAAGCCCGUUUUGAUAACUUAUGUGUACACUACUAGCCGAUCGGCAUAAUCGUGUAAAGUUACGUUCAUUUGGACUAAUGUAGAAUCCUUUUGACAGAUCUGAAAAAUUCGGAAAUUUCCAUUUACUUAUAAAGAAGUGUAAUUGAGACAUUAAGCCAGUCAAAGAACUAGUGGAACCAACAAAUUCAGCACCGAUAGAAUUUGCGACUUUUUGUAAUUGUUCAUCUUCGGAAGGAGGACGAAACUUACUUAAAAGGCCAAAAUUAAAUUUAUCAACUGGCAAGAUUUUUGACAAGUAUUCAUCCCAUUUAUAGUCAUUAGUCUUCGGAUCACGAAGAAACUGGAAUUUCUUUUUAGGUAAUACAGUGUCCAAAUGGUGCUGUAAGUUGCCUAUUGACUCUUUGUCCACAACGUUGACUUCUACAAAAAUAAAUUAGUUAGUCUGACUUGCAGCGCUCAAUAUACUUACUUUCAAAGGCAGACGCUUUAGAGUGUAAAACGUUGUCUGCAGCUUUAAUAUUACAACUAUUAAUUUGAAAACCUUUAUGUAAGCAUUUUUUCAAAUUAUAAACAGAUCGACGACCGAAAUUCUUUUUUUUAUAAAUCAACAUAACACCAAUUGGUAAAUGUCGAGUUAUACUUAAUGGUUUAAAUGAUGACAGAAAAUUUAAUUCAAACCAAAACUAAGGAAUACAAAAACUACCUCCAUAUCUUUGGAAGUACGAGGGUUGGGUGAACUUACGGUGUUGAGUACUUCGCAGGUGUUAGUAUAUGAAGUCGAAAACUAGUGAAAUGCUAUUGAAAAUAAUCGAGCAUUAAUUCAUUAAAUUACUAUAAAUAUUCAUUAAAUAAUACAGAAAAUCAUUGUAUAAUUGGAAAUGUUCAGAGUUUAGUCAGCCUAAUAUGUUAGUACUCGCCUUUUUCCACUCAUUAACGACCCAUUCAAAAUUAACAAAUUUGGGUUCAAUUUGAUAUCUAUUUGGUUAACCAACAACUCAUACUUCUUUCUUUUUGUUUAGCUACUUACAGUUCGCACGCCUUUGUUAGUUGUUCUAAACGAGUUGAAUCUUCCACAAACAUUACCACGUGUGUCAAUUUUUUUGAAGAAAUAUCUUUCUCUAUUGUAGCUCCGUUCCAUAGCAAUAUACAUUUGGUUAAGCGGUAUUGCCCCAUUCGAACAUCAUACAACUCAGAAUUUUCGAUUCCUUUCAAAUCUAAGAAUACUGUAAACUUUAAAAAAGGAAAGGCACCAACAAAACUGGCUUCUUCCUUCGAAAUUGUAAGAUUCAAAAUAGAAGUGUCAUCGGAAAUUUUUGAGUACUCUUUACUCAAGUCCAGCUGUUUCAAUUCCACCAAUAAAUUAGACAAGGAUUUCGCACUCAAGGACUCCAAUGCUGUCUUCCAUGAAUAUUUUUCAUCUUUAGAAAAGAGAAGACUAAUUGGUUAGAGAAUAAGCAAACUUAUCUGUACUUACUAUGACCAUUGUGGCAUUAAGCGUUGAUUAUUUACACUGUCCAUUACCCAUUGAGAUCGAAUAAUAGUACACAUGUUUUUGCUCCGCUCGAUAGAAACCCUAGUAGAUACUGUUGUAAGCAAUGCACAAGCAAAGUGAUAUCUUACCUCUGUCGGCAACUAAAAAUAACCUUUCUUUCCCAAAAUUUCCAACACCCUGAUGAAUUAAACCUCCGUUUUCGAUUAUUAUUUGUUGCAAACCGGCUUUAGUUUCAUGCAAUUCUGUUGGAGGCAGGACGACUAAAGAGUUAGAAAAUGUCUAAACAUAAUCACCUACCAAAAUGUAAGUUUUUC